rnacentral:rRNA from 1 species
UACGUAGGGUGCAGGCGUUAAUCGGGAUUACUGGGCGUAAAGCGUGCGCAGGCGGUCUUUUAAGUCAGAUGUGAAAUCCCCGGGCUUAACCUGGGACUGCGUUUGAAACUGGAAGGCUAGAGUACUAAAGAGGAUCGCGGAAUUCCCGGUGUAGAGGUGAAAUUCGUAGAUAUCGGGAGGAACACCGGUGGCGAAGGCGGCGAUCUGGGUAGAUACUGACGCUGAGGUGCGAAAGCGUGGGGAGCAAACAGG